UACGUAGGGGGCAAGCGUUGUCCGGAUUUAUUGGGCGUAAAGAGCGUGUAGGCGGUCAGGUAGGUCCGUUGUGAAAACUCGAGGCUCAACCUCGAGACGCCGAUGGAAACCAUCUGACUAGAGUCCGGAAGAGGAGAGUGGAAUUCCUGGUGUAGCGGUGAAAUGCGCAGAUAUCGGGAGGAACACCGGUGGCGAAGGCGGUUCUCUGGGCCUUACCUGACGCUGAGGAGCGAAAGCGUGGGGAGCGAACAGG
rnacentral:rRNA from 1 species